AUGCAACUCUUGUUCUUGGGGUUGUAACUUCAAGCCCCAUGUGGGGUGUGGAGAUUCCUUAAGAA